rnacentral:rRNA from 1 species
GACGAACGCUGGCGGCGUGCUUAACACAUGCAAGUCGAACGGAAAGGCCCUGCUUGCAGGGUACUCGAGUGGCGAACGGGUGAGUAACACGUGGGUGAUCUGCCCUGCACUUCGGGAUAUGCCUGGGAAACUGGGUCUAAUACCGGAUAGGAGCCAUUUUUAGUGUGAUGGUUGGAAAGUUUUUUCGGUGUAGGAUGAGCUCGCGGCCUAUCAGCUUGUUGGUGGGGUAAUGGCCUACCAAGGCGGCGACGGGUAGCCGGCCUGAGGGGGUGGACGGCCACAUUGGGACUGGGAUACGGCCCAGACUCCUACGGGAGGCAGCAGUGGGGAAUAUUGCACAAUGGGCGCAAGCCUGAUGCAGCGACGCCGCGUGGUGGAUGACGGCCUUCGGGUUGUAAACUCCUUUCGCUAGGGACGAAGCUUUUGUGACGGUACCUAGAUAAGAAGCACCGGCUAACUACGUGCCAGCAGCCGCCGCGG